CGGCAGGCUUACACAUGCAAGUCGAUGGGUAACGAUGGUGCUUGCACCAGGCGACGACCGGCGGACGGGUGAGUAACGCGUAUGCAACCUACCUAUUGCAGGAAGAUAGCCCGAGGAAACUCGGAUUAAUAUUCCAUAAUAUCAUUUUUACACAUGUAUUAAUGAUUAAAGCUACGGCGGCAAUAGAUGGGCAUGCGUACCAUUAGCUAGUUGGUGAGGUAACGGCUCACCAAGGUUACGAUGGUUAGGGGGUCUUAAAGGAUGAUCCCCCACACUGGUACUGAGACACGGACCAGACUCCUACGGGAGGCAGCAGUGAGGAAUAUUGGGCAAUGGACGCAAGUCUGACCCAGCCAUGCCGCGUGCAGGAUGACUGCUCUAGUAGUUGUAAACUGCUUUUCUAUUUCAUGAACCCCUCUGACGUGUCAGGGGCUGACAGUAGAAUAGGAAUAAGCAUCGGCCAACUCCGUGCCAGCAGCCGCGGUAAUACGGAGGAUGCAAGCGUUAUCCGGAUUUACUAGGUUUAAAGGGUGCGUAGGCGGGGUAUCAAGUCAGUGGUGAAAUCCUGCAGCUCAACUGUAGAACUGCCAUUGAAACUGAUAUUCUUGAGUAUAGUUGAGGUAGGCGGAAUGUGUUAAGUAGCGGUGAAAUGCAUAGAGAUAACACAGAACACCGAUUGCGAAGGCAGCUUACUAAACUAUUACUGACGCUGAGGUACGAAAGCGUGGGGAGCGAACAGGAUUAGAUACCCUGGUAGUCCACGCCCGUAACGUUGAUCACUAGUUGUU
rnacentral:rRNA from 1 species